rnacentral:rRNA from 1 species
GACGAACGCUGGCGGCGUGCUUAACACAUGCAAGUCGAACGCUGAAGCUCAGCUUUUGUUGGGUGGAUGAGUGGCGAACGGGUGAGUAACACGUGAGUAACCUGCCUCCUUCUUUGGGAUAACGCCCGGAAACGGGUGCUAAUACUGGAUAUUCACUGGUCUUCGCAUGGGGGUUGGUGGAAAGGGUUUUUCUGGUGGGGGAUGGGCUCGCGGCCUAUCAGCUUGUUGGUGGGGUGAUGGCCUACCAAGGCUUUGACGGGUAGCCGGCCUGAGAGGGUGACCGGUCACAUUGGGACUGAGAUCCGGCCCAGACUCCUACGGGAGGCAGCAGUGGGGAAUAUUGCACAAUGGGCGCAAGCCUGAUGCAGCGACGCCGCGUGAGGGAUGGAGGCCUUCGGGUUGUGAACCUCUUUCGCUCAUGGUCAAGCCGCAACAAUGGUUGUGGUGAGGGUAGUGGGUAAAGAAGCGCCGGCUAACUACGUG